AAAGCAAACUCCAAAGCCAAUAAAUUUUAGAGAGAAUGUGAGAUGAAAACACAGACCUGGAAAAUUAACCCAACAAUAGUUGUUCCAGUCUUGAGAAACGACGGAGCUUUAAGACCCUUCUGUGUAAGCAUAUCAUUCCUUUUGCACAAAUCGAAGCUAAACCCACCUUUUGGCGGCAAAUCAACAGACGACUGCGACAUUUUUCCGAUUCACCACUCUAUAAAUCACAAAAAAACAAAUUAUCAACCAAUAAAUCAAAUCAAAUCAAAUAGUUGGGAUCGAGAUCGCUGAAGGAUGAGUAAAAUUGUGUUGGAGUCACCAAAAUCGAGAAGAUAUAAUCAACGGAGACGAUAAGAUGAAGAAGAAAAGAGAAAAGCUAAGCUUAUAGAAGAAUGAUCUUACCUUGUCUUGAAGAUUUUGGGAGAAGAAGGAAGCUCGAAUCAGAGAAGAAGAGCUCGAUUUUGAGAAGAGAACCGAUUUAUUUUUUCCCCCACAACUGAAAAUAAUUUUGCAAUUAGAAAUAAACAUAACCAACCAGAAUCUCACACGUGGCACUACACCUGAGUGUAACUUAACACUCGUGUUUCGCUUCUAAACGCACUGUUCCUUUAUUUUCGGUUUUUUUAAGGGUGGUCUUAUAUUCAUCUAUUUUAUUUCAACCAAUCAUAAUCUGCUACCUAAUAGUAAUAAUUUUUUUUUAUUUAAUUACAAAAUCUAAUUUGCCACUAAAACGGAAUUAUGUAUCGGUUUGGGUUUAUUAGAAAGGGCUAGGGUUUAGAUUUUAUGAUUAAAAGAAAUUAAAUAUCGGUUUGAGUUUAUAAACAGAUUUAGAUUUUAUAAUUAAAGGAGGUUAAAUGUCGGUUUGGGUUUAGAAAAUACGAUUAGGGUUUAGAUUUUAUGAUUAAACGAGAUUAAAUAUCGGUUUGGGUUUAUAAAAAAGAUUUAGAUUUUACAAGUAAACGAAGUUAAAUGUCAGUUUGGGUUUAGAAAGUAUGGUUAAGGUUUAGAUUUUUUACGAUUAAACAAGUUUAAAUGACGGUUUGGAUUUACAAAGGAGAAUUAGGAUUUAGAUUUUGUAAUUAAACGAGAUUAUAUAUCGGUUUAGAUUAAUAAAAGAGUGGUUAGAGAUUAAAUUUAAUAAUUAAAUAAGUUUAAUAUUUUUUAUUAUAUGAUGAAUUCUGAUUGGUUAAAAUAAAAGAGAGUGAAUAAAAAGAUUCACUCCUAAGGGUGAACCCAAAUAUUGCUCUAAUUUAACCAUAUACAUAUAGUGUAAAUUAUAACCUUGAAAUUUAAACUUUACUCCUACAUACCUGGAUAAUAUUAUUUUUUUUCAUUUGAAAAAUAUUACACCUAAUUUUAUUUUUUAUUCUUCUCCUCUUUUACAGCAAAAGUAUGGAGAUAUAUUUCCUAAUCAUCUCUAUUUUCUUACCAUCUUUACUCUAUUUCUUUAUCUACAUUAUACUAUUGAGGAAAUUUAAGUAUCAUAAGAUAUUGGAAGUACAACAAAUUCAUGCACCCAGCUAUAUAUCUUACCUUUAAAAAAAUAAACAUCUGAUAAUAAUAAUAAAAAGUUAGAAAAAUGACGUCAAAAAAAAAAAAGUUAGAACGAAGAAGUGUUAAACCCAACCAUUUUUGAUUUUGACUUGAUAAAAAAAAAAAGCUUCAACGCUCCUUUUUCUCCUCCGUCGCUCUCCGCCGCGUCCAAAAUCCCCAAAUCCUCCCUCUUAUCCGAUCAAUUCUUCCCAAGUAACCUUCCUCUUCUUCGUUUCUCUUCUCAGAUUGUUUCGUAAGUUCUUCGUAUAUACAUAUAUAUUCUUCACUUCCACAGUUUUUUUUUUUUUUUUGGGUUCAUAUCGAUCUCAAAUCAUAGAGAUUGAUUAACCUAAUUGCUCUUGUUCUAGUGUAAUGCAACGGUAUUAGGAACUUUAACCUAUGAUUAUCCGUGAUUUGAUCGUUAAUUUCAAGAUUCGGAUUUUUCGAGACUGAGAAAAAGCGAUCACCUGAGUUAUAAAUAAAAAAUGGAACCUAAUUUUUGUAGUCGUUGUGAUCGAAUUCGAUUCUCACAGACUUUCUAGUUCCUAAGGUGUAUGCAGUGAUUUAAGAAGCGAUUUCGUUGUUGAUAAUGUUUUUGUGUUGUUUGUUUAACAGGUGUGUGUGUGUGUGUGUGUAAUUCAUAAUGGAAGUCUGCAAUUGUAUUGAACCGCAAUGGCCAGCGGAUGAAUUGUUAAUGAAAUAUCAAUACAUAUCGGAUUUCUUCAUUGCGAUUGCGUAUUUUUCUAUUCCUCUUGAGUUGAUAUACUUUGUGAAGAAAUCCGCGGUUUUUCCGUAUAGAUGGGUACUUGUUCAGUUUGGUGCUUUUAUUGUUCUUUGUGGGGCGACUCAUCUUAUUAACUUAUGGACUUUCACUACGCAUUCGAGAACCGUUGCGCUUGUUAUGACUACUGCGAAAGUGUUAACUGCUGUCGUCUCGUGUGCUACUGCGUUGAUGCUUGUUCAUAUUAUUCCUGAUUUGUUGAGUGUUAAGACCCGGGAACUGUUCUUGAAAAAUAAGGCGGCUGAGCUUGAUAGGGAAAUGGGAUUGAUUCGAACUCAGGAAGAAACCGGACGGCAUGUUAGAAUGUUGACACAUGAGAUUAGAAGCACGUUAGAUAGACAUACUAUUUUAAAGACUACACUUGUUGAGCUUGGUAGGACAUUAGCUUUGGAGGAGUGUGCAUUGUGGAUGCCUACUAGGACUGGGUUGGAGCUACAGCUUUCUUAUACACUUCGUCACCAACAUCCCGUGGAGUAUACGGUUCCCAUUCAAUUACCAGUGAUCAACCAAGUGUUUGGUACUAGUAGGGCUGUAAAAAUAUCUCCUAAUUCCCCUGUGGCUAGGUUGAGACCUGUUUCUGGGAAAUAUAUGCUUGGGGAGGUGGUCGCUGUGAGGGUUCCGCUUCUCCACCUUUCUAAUUUUCAGAUUAAUGACUGGCCUGAGCUUUCAACGAAGAGAUAUGCUCUGAUGGUCUUGAUGCUUCCUUCAGAUAGUGCGAGGCAAUGGCAUGUCCAUGAGUUGGAACUCGUUGAAGUUGUUGCUGAUCAGGUUUGACAUUUCCUGAGAAGUUCUCUUCUUUGCUAUGUUCAUGAUCUUGUCUAAAACUUUUUUUCUUUUACUCUAGGUGGCUGUGGCUCUCUCACAUGCUGCGAUCCUAGAAGAGUCGAUGCGAGCUAGGAACCUUCUCAUGGAGCAGAAUGUCGCUCUUGAUCUAGCAAGACGAGAAGCAGAGACAGCAAUCCGUGCCCGCAAUGAUUUCCUGGCAGUUAUGAACCAUGAGAUGCGUACUCCGAUGCAUGCAAUCAUUGCACUCUCUUCCUUACUCCAAGAAACGGAACUAACCCCUGAACAAAGGCUGAUGGUGGAAACAAUACUUAAAAGUAGUAACCUUUUGGCAACUUUGAUGAAUGAUGUCUUAGAUCUUUCAAGGUUAGAGGAUGGAAGUCUUCAACUUGAACUCGGAACGUUCAACCUUCAUACAUUAUUUAGAGAGGUAACAGUAUUUCUUUACAGCAUUUCUUUCCUCUUUCGUGUCAUUGUUUGAACAGCUUCAUGUUUUAAAAGUUGUAUGUGCACUUGAUUGAUAGUUCUGAAUCUUGUUGCAGGUCCUGAAUCUGAUAAAGCCUAUAGCGGUUGUUAAGAAAUUACCCAUCACACUAAAUCUUGCACCAGAUUUGCCAGAAUUUGUCGUUGGGGAUGAGAAACGACUAAUGCAGAUAAUUUUGAAUAUAGUUGGUAAUGCUGUGAAAUUCUCCAAACAAGGUAGUAUCUCCGUAACCGCUCUUGUCACCAAGUCAGACACUCGAGAUGCUGACUUUUUUGUCGUGCCAACUGGGAGUCAUUUCUACUUGAGAGUUAAGGUUAGUAUCUUUCACAAGCAGCUUGUAUCUUGGGAUCUUAAACCAUAACUGAACUUGUUUCUUAGGUCUUAAUUUUGACGAUUAUUUAAAUAUAGGUAAAAGACUCUGGAGCAGGAAUAAAUCCUCAAGACAUUCCAAAGCUUUUCACUAAAUUUGCUCAAACACAAUCUUUAGCGACGAGAAGCUCGGGUGGUAGUGGGCUUGGCCUCGCCAUCUCCAAGAGGUUUAAGCCUUAUUUAAAAACUGUUAUUUUCUUUUUAUAUUUUCUUGUCUGGUAUUGAUAGAAGUUUGCUCAUAUGCGUUUAAUAUGACAAGGUUUGUGAAUCUAAUGGAGGGCAACAUUUGGAUUGAGAGCGAUGGUCUUGGAAAAGGAUGCACAGCUAUCUUUGAUGUUAAACUUGGGAUUUCAGAGCGUUCAAACGAAUCUAAACAGUCGGGCAUACCGAAAGUUCCAGCCAUUCCCCGACAUUCAAGUUUCACUGGACUUAAAGUUCUUGUCAUGGACGAGAACGGGUUAGUAUAAACCUCUCACCUUUCUCCUUGCAAAACUCUCCGCUUACUUCUUGCAAAUGCAGAAAUUGGCAUUUAGAAAAAACCGCAAAUUUAAUCUUAUGAGAAACUGCUGAUUAUUUUGUUUGCAGGGUAAGUAGAAUGGUGACAAAGGGACUUCUUGUACACCUUGGAUGCGAAGUUACCACUGUGAGUUCAAACGAGGAAUGUCUCCGAGUUGUAUCCCAUGAGCACAAAGUAGUCUUCAUGGACGUGUGCUUGCCCGGGGUCGAAAACUACCAAAUCGCCCUCCGUAUACACGAGAAAUUCACAAAACAGCGCCACCAACGGCCACUACUCGUUGCACUCACUGGUAACACCGACAAAUCCACAAAAGAGAAAUGCAUGAGCUUUGGUCUAGACGGCGUGUUGCUCAAACCCGUAUCACUAGACAACAUGAGAGACGUUCUGUCUGAUCUUCUUGAACGCCGGGUUCUAUACGAGGGCAUGUAAAGGCAUUGCCCCGGCCUCUAGAGGAGUAAUUCCGCUCCCAGCUUUUCCUCCCAUAAAACAUCGGAAGCUGAUGUUCUCUGGUUUAAAUGUGUACAUAUCAGAGAUUGUGGGAGCGUUUUGGAUGAUUAUCUUAAAACACAAAGGGAAUAACAAAAUAGAAACUCUAGACCGGUUUGUGUCGUGGCGAUUCCGGUUAGAGAGGAACAAGAUGUUGGUGGUAUAAUCAUACCAUUUCAUAUUAAAUGUUUGACUGAUGUUGUAUCUUUAUAUAUAUAGUCACAUUCUUAUGAGAAUUUGGAUCGAGUUAUGGACGCUUAUUAGUGAUUGCGUGCAUGUGUGUUAUUAAAGUUUUUGAUGCGUUAUUGUAACGUCAAUAUAAAUGGAAAAAUGCCACCAAAAAAAAAAAAAUUCCUUAAGUCCGGAAACCAUAAGAACUAAAAAUGAUUUAGAAAAUCACAAAAGACUUUAUAUUAGGAUUUUAUUAUAGAAGUAUUUUAUUUGAAAUAAUUAGAUUAGAUAAGUUAGGAUAAAGAUUAUUACAUUAAACUAUUCAUCAAAAAAAAAGAUUAUAACAUUAAACUAAAUAAAUAUUGUAUUGGUAGUAUAAUAAGCUUCAAUUUUUCUCAUAUAUAAAUUAAAAUAUAAUUUUAUUUUUAUAGUUUUUGUGUUAUUCAAAAUUUUACAUCUAAAAGAACUACGAGACAAAUUCUUGUAGAUUAGUUAAUUUUUUUUACUCUCUAUCUUCAAAACAUAAAGAUUAUUCAUACAUAAUAAAAAAAAAAAAUACACAGUGUAACAUUUUUUGCCACCACAAAUUUUAUAAAAUUUUGAUGAAUAAUAUGUUAAAUCAAGGCUCCCACGGUGAGGAAUGCAACUCAAUUUUUAAAAGUUUUAAAAUCUGAUAUAUAUGACUGUGAAAACAUUUAAAAUAUAUGUUUAAAAAUUAUGUUGCAUAUUUUUAAUUGGGGCUUUUGCAAAAAUACCACUUUUUCAAUGCCACUUUUCAAAAAUACCCCUUUUUAAAAACCUUAUAAAAAAUGCUCUUAAAAAUAUAAGAUUUACCCAAAUAUGUAUGUAAUAUUAUUAAAACAUACACAAACUACAUUUCUAUGUAUAUAAAAUCUUAUAAAUACUUUAUAAAUUCCUUAUAAAUGCAUUUUAAAAACCUUUAAAAACCUUUAAAAUAUCUUGUAAAACCUUUGAAAAACCUUAAAAAUCCUUUAAAAUAACUUGUAAAACCUUUAAAAACCCCUUAUAAAACCUUAUAAAUACUUGGAUCGAGUCUUCAAGUAGUAGUUACAAUCCAUAAGUACCUUAUAAACCUAAUAAAACUUUAUAAAAAUUUCAGAUUUUAAAAGAGACAUUUUUGAAAAUGGACAUCUAAAAGGGGCAUUUUUGAAAAGGGGCACACCAAAAGGGGUAUUUUUAACAAUUUCCCUUUUUAAUUUCGUAAAUUAAUCUGUAUUUUAAAAAAAUAAAAGGUAAAAUUGUAAAAAUUAGCAAGUUAGUAAUUUUUUAAAAAAAAAUCCUAUCUUUGAAGAGAAGAAAUUUAAAAUUUAAUUAUCUGCGUUUAGAUAUAACCACGAAUUUAAUAUACGAUUCCGAAUUUGAACAAUCAUGCGCCGCUUCGUAGAACAACAACAAUGGCGUCACUUCAUUCCUCCAUCAAAACCAUCUCCAAAACUCAUCCAUGGCUUCUUCUCCUUCUCCUCCAAAACUAUCCCAAAUCCAAACAAACAACAACAAAUCCUCAUCGAUUCCAUCUCCAAAUCCCUCCAAUCCAACGAUAACUGGGAAACUCUCUCCACCAAAUUCUCCUCCAUCGAUUUAUCAGAUUCCCUCAUCGAAACAAUCCUUCUCCGAUUCAACUCCCCCGAAACCGCGAAACGAGCUUUAACCUUCUUCCAUUGGUCAGCUCACACUCGAAAUCUCCGCCAUGGAAUCAGAUCUUACGCUGUCACGAUUCACAUCCUUGUCAAAGCUCGAUUACUAAUCGACGCUCGAGCUUUAAUCGAAUCGUCUCUGUUGAAUUCAUCUUCCGAUUUAGUCGAUUCGUUGUUAGAUACUUAUGUGAAUUCGUCUUCUACUCCUUUAGUGUUUGAUUUGUUAGUUCAAUGUUAUGCUAAGAUUAGGUAUUUGGAAUUAGGAUUUGAAGUUUUUAAGAGAUUGUGUGAUUGUGGAUUUAGUCUAAGUGUGAUUACUUUGAAUACGUUGAUUCAUUUCGCUGCGAAAUCGAAUCGGGUUGAUCUUGUGUGGAGGAUUUACGAGUUUGCGAUUGAUAAGAGGAUUUAUCCGAACGAGACGACGAUUCGGAUUAUGAUUAGUGUGUUGUGUAAAGAAGGGAGAUUGAAGGAAGUUGUUGAUUUGUUAGAUAGGAUUUAUGGUAAGAGAUGUUUACCUUCAGUGAUUGUUAAUACGAGUUUGGUUUUUCGGGUUUUGGAAGAGAAGAGAGUAGAGGAGAGUAUGAGUUUGUUGAAGAGGUUGUUGAUGAAGAAUAUGGUUGUUGAUGUGAUUGGUUAUUCGAUUGUUGUGUAUGCGAAAACGAAGAAAGGGGAUUUGGAGUGUGCGCGGAAUGUGUUUGAUGAAAUGAUUCGUAGAGGUUUUAGUGCGAAUGCGUUUGUUUAUACCGCUUUUGUUAGAGUUUGUUGUGAAAGAGGUGAUGUUGAAGAGGCAGAGCGGUUGAUGAGUGAGAUGGAGGAUUCUGGAGUGAAUCCGUAUGAAGAAACUUUUAAUUUUCUUAUCGUGGGUUGUGCGAGAUUUGGUAGAGAAGAAAAAGGUUUGGAGUAUUGCGAGAUUAUGGUUGCGAGAGGGCUUAUGCCUAGUUGUUCGGCUUUCAAUGGGAUGGUUAAGAGAUUAAGUGAGAUUGACAACGUGAAUCGCGCUAAUGAAAUCCUAACCAAGUCGAUAGAUAAAGGGUUUGUGCCCGAUGAACAUACGUACUCUCAUCUGAUUCGAGGAUUUGUAGAAGGAAACAGUAUCGAUCAAGCACUUAAGCUGUUCUACGAGAUGGAAUACCGAAAGAUCUCUCCUGGUUUCGAGGUGUUCAGGUCACUAAUCGUGGGACUUUGCGCUUGCGGUAAAGUUGAAGCCGGAGAAAAGUACUUGAGAAUUAUGAAGAGGAGAUUGAUAGAGCCUAAUGCAGAUAUAUAUGAAGCAAUGAUCAAUGCAUUUCAGAAAAUUGGCGAUAAAACGAAUGCUGAUAAAGUUUAUAAUGAGAUGAUUUUAAUCUCCAUGUAGCUUCAUCUUGGGAAAACUUGAUUUUGUAUCAAGUUUAAUCAUGGGUCAAUGAUCCAACGACCAUAUUUAUUAUACUUCCAUUAGACAUAGAAACCAGAGGAAAAGAAAGCUAAAGCCAUAGAACAAGAGAUCGAAACAGGGAAUUGCAGAAGCAUAAGCUUCAUUGUUCACCCUCUAGCUUCAUUCAAUACUUGAUUAUAUAUUUUUACAAGUAUGAAAAAAAUAUAUGGAUAUAAUAUUAAAAAGAAAAAAAAUAUUGAUAUCAUGGUAGAAAAAUCUAACUUUUAUGAUUAAAAAAAAAAUCCUUAGAUAUGGGUUUAUAUGAAGAUGACUCGAGGUGGAAAACUUCUUUUUUUUUUUUUUUUUUUUGAAUAACCGCGGGUCUCCCAAAGGCUUCCUAGGCCCAAGGACUAAUCCCACGAGGCUGGCAAUUCCUCUAUGUAAACCUGCCAGUGGCCGUGCCUCGAACCCUGGUGGCGGAAGUCACAGCUGUGACCCCUUUACCACUAGGCCACAAGGCCCGGUUAAGGUGGAAAACUUCUCUCAUUCUUUGUUUUGAAAAUUCAAAGAAAAUUGAAAGAUAUAAGAAAGAGUGUUCUCUAGUGGUAAAUUCUUUCAAAUGUCUCCUAAAUUUUUCUAAGUGACGUUCCAUUUUCUUAUCCUUAAAAGGGUUUGAAUUCUUUUGGAUUUUCGAAUAUUAAGAUUUUGGAAUAUUGCUAGACACUACUAUCGAGUGAAAAACUCUACUAUCAUCUCUAAACAUUCUUAGUAAAAAACUAGGUCUUGCAGAUUUUAUUAGGUAGGCUAAGUUAUUUAACAUAAUUCUAAUAUAUAUUUUAUCAUCAAUCUCACUAUUACAAGUACAAGUGCUUUAAGCUGCAGUUCUUCCAGUUUAUCGUGCUUGAACUGGACUUGAAUGUGAUAUAUACAUAUAUAUAUAUAUAGUUAUUGUCGGUUUUGGUCCUUCAGUUUUGGUUUGUUGAUGCCUUAAACGUUGGUGCUUAAUACAAAACAAAAACUCCUAACUAAAAAAGAUCUUAAAUAGCUUGUCCUAAAUUGAGCUGAUCAUAAUACACAAACCUACAGAAAAAAGAGCAACAUAAUUUUUUUUAAUAAAUUUAGGGUGAUCAACAUCUAUGCUAUUAUAUUUUAUGUUGGUCACUCAUCUCACAAUUAAAAUUCAUAUGAGAAAGGGCUCCAAAUAAAUAUUUCCGUAAAUGUGCUGCAAGAGAAAUAACCACCAUUGCUUAGUAUAAAUAAAUAAGUUAAUGGAAAAUUUUGCAUGUGUAUAGAAAAUUUCAGUUAUCAACUUCUUUAAACGUUCAAAAAUAUCUGAUUUUAAUAAUGUUUAUUAUAGAUGAUAGAUUUGAUCAGGUAAGAUAUCACAUGCAUGUAUAUGAAAGUUGUAUCGGAUUCCUUAUUAUUAGAGAAUACAAAGUGCAACCCCACCACCAUAUGUCACAUGAAAAGGCAUGUUAUAUUUGUUUUGGUUAGACAACAAUUUUAAUGGUCCUUAAAGUUUCUUUUUCUUUAUUCCCUAAUUGUUCUAAGCUCUUUUUUUUUUUUUUUUGCAAGAUUAAAAGAGAAGUCGCAAAAUACAUUUUGAGACCAAAAAAAAAACAAUUACUAAUUCAUGUUUUCUAAGGAAUUUUAAUGGAUUAAAUAUAUAUUGGUAGAUUUAUAAGCCGGCAGAAAUAAAAUCAUCAAAAUAUAUAUUUUAUAUCAGAAAAUUAGUAAAUCGGGAAGCAAUUUCUUGAAAUUAUUAGUCUUGUUUAGUAUAAAUAGUGACGGUAGAGAAGUGGUUUCUCUAGGAUGAUACAUCACCACAUCAACAUCUCAAAAGUUGUCACAUGUACAUUCUACUAUUCCAAACAAAUAUCAAAAUUCAUAGAAAACUAGAAUCUCUGUUAUUUUCACGUUUUACCCGACGCGUUCGGCCUUCCUUAACUUUACUUUCAAACCCUAAACUAUUGAUGUUUGUCUAACUCCAAAUUAGCUUCUCAUGUGUUUGUAACAACGAUGAAUAAGCGGAAGAAAAUGGAUGAGAAAUUUCUAUGAAAUUUAUUGACCAACACUAGAACCUUUCCGGUAUGAAUUUAACAUGCUAACUUUCAUCUUAAAUUGUAUAGAAUAAUCUGGUUUUUGUUAGUUAUGAGGAAACAGAAAAUUUGCAUGUAAUGCGGGCAAUUACUUCUACAAAUAUAAUUUGUUACUCGAACAUUUUAAUUUAUUUUGAAAUUUGAUGUCGAAGAAAAAUGAAGUAUUUGAAUAACGUUCUUUUGUUCUGUUUAAAUAUAUACAAAAAUUAAUCAUUUAAAAUAUAACAUAGCAUCUUUGUCUUAAGUAGCUUUAGAAGGAUAAUUAGAAUUUAAUUUUCUUAUUUAUAAUUUCCCAAAAAAAAUGUAACAUGUAAUUAGACACUAGAGAAAAGAAUGUGACAUGUAAUUAUCAAUGCAUGCAGAGAAAACGAUCGUGUUGAAUAUUUAUUGUGUCCACCAGAUACCAAUCUAUUAGAUUACCUUCUUCAAAUGAAACUUAGAUAAAAUGAAGUAAAUGUGAUGGAUUCUCUUAUUAAUUACCAACAAGCUAAGUUAUUAUCAUAUCAAAACUUAAAUAAAAUGAAGUAAAUGUGAUGGGCUCCUCUUUUAAUUACCUAAAAGCUCUAUAUAUGUAUGUAAUAUGCAAACAUUGGUUGCUUGCAAUUGUCCUGUCAUUGGUGGAGACAUAUAGUGGCUCAACUUGUUUGCUACAAAAUAUAAUUUUGGUCUUGUGAUUGGAAGUUAUAAAAUUUCGUGAUGAGCUUUCUGAAAAAUGUAGGGUCUCCUAAUAAAUCUUAUGUAUCAUGAUUGGUUGAAUAUUCAAUUCUAUUGGUGAAAAGCGAUUUACCACUCAGAGACUCACUAUAUCAAAAACUAAUAGGGAAAUAUUAAGAAAUAGCCAAAUAAAACACUCAAAUUAAGAAAAUAGCAGAAAGAAUUUUUUUUGUUGCAAAAUAGCCAUGGACUUACGUUGUCGGAUGAUGUGAAAUACCAAAACUAUCCUUUGUUUGUUGCAAGAUCAAUGAUAUGUGAGACAGUUUCGUGAGAUUUUUCAAAAUAGCAUGUAACAUUUAAAUUUCGCAUGUUAUAUUUAACUAAAAGACAUGAUAUUUUAAAAAACAUAGUGAAUUUUUAAGAAAAAAUAUUGUUACGUAGUGUUAUUUUAAGAAAAAACAUUGUCAUGGAAAAUUUAAUCUGAAUAGUAACUUUUUAAAAAGAAAUCACAUGUAAUCUUAAAAAACAUAGUGAAUUUUUAAGAAAAAACAUUGUUACGUAGUGUUAUUUUAAGAAAAAACAUUGUCAUGGAAAAUUUAAUCUGAAUAGUAACUUUUUAAAAAGAAAUCACAUGUAAUCUUAAAAAAAAUCUUGUAUUACUAAAAAAUAAUCAUCUUUUUAAAAAAGAAAUCACAUGUGAUCUUAAUAAAACACGUGUAUUAUUACAAAAUAACAUGAUAAAGACAGAUAUUCACAUGUGAUCUUAAUUAAACACGUGUAUUAUUACAAAAUAACAUGAUAUAGACAUAUAUUACACUGAAUAUAAUGUUUUUUCGAGAAAUACCAUGUGUUCUUUAUAAAUAACGUAUAGUACAAAAAAAAUACAUGAUAAAAAGAUAUAUAUUAUGCUAUCACAUGUAAUUCGAAAAAAGCAUGUUACAAAGGACAUGUACGUAAUUACACAUGCUUUCCGACAUGUUACAGACAUAUUAUUGUAGCUCAUGCUUAGUUUGUAUAUUCUUUUUGAAUCCAUGGUACUUUGUAUAUAUUCCCAAUCUAAUACUACCUUCAAACUAUAUUUUCUUGGUGACACACUGAUAUUUUGUUUUUAUUUGGCCAAAUAUUUUUGUGCAAACAAUCAAAUUUAGGUAUCAGAGAGUUAAUGCCGUGCCAAUGUCAAUAGAGGCUUAACACAAAUUUUAAAAUGGUGGCUUUGUAUAUUUUUUUAGACAAGAUUUUUUUUCAUAAUAUGUAUAAAAAAGAAACAUUACCCUUUUCAAAUAUUUUAUUUAAAAACGAGAUUUAGUGAGUUAAUGUUAUAAAAAGAAAAGAAAUUUUUUUUAUACAUGUUAUGAAUUUUUUUAAAGAAAAAAGUCUUAAAACACUAUUUAAAAGUAAAUAGUAUGCCUAAUUUUUAAAUAGAUGUGGCCUCUUAAGAGUGGAUAGGUUUAUGUUUAUUAUAUGAAACAUUUGACUACUAACCUGAUUUUGUACUGUUCAAUGGAACUUAUAAGAUAUUUAUUUAGUGCACAUAAUUAGGAGGCACCGAAAAUGGAUUAAUAUUGUCAAAAAAAUGUCUAUUUCAUGAUUGCCUUCUCUCUUGUAAUAGAUGAAUAGACUUAAUUAGAUAGGGAAAUUAUCGUGUCCCCUAACAUCACAAUAACUAUAUUAAAAUGCCAGUCAAUAGAACAAAAAAAAAAAAUUAUCUCUAUAGUUCGAUUGGUAACACAAAAUGGGAUAGAGUUUUUAGUGGAUAAUGCUAGCGGUUAGCGGUUCGUACAUAGUUAAAAUUGGUACAAAUUAGCGGAUAGAAAGAACUCUACAAAAAUCUGAGAAUCUUUUUAUCUCGUUUUUGGUAUUAUUUUUGUGAUUGGUUAUAACAUAAGCGAUACAUCGUUACCGUAGCAGUAUGAAGCUACCAAUCACACCCUAUCGUAACUUUGAAAAUUUUUAGCCACUUCUCAUUAGAUUCUCUGGAAAUUAAACCUUGUUUGUUAGAAGAAAACACAGUCGGGAGAUAAUAAAGUAAAAAACUUAGGUACUUUCAUUGCAUUCCAAAAAAUUAUAACUUCUAAUUCACAUCAAGUAAAUGAAUAAUUCUCAUACAUAGGGACCACACGCUUUUAAGAUUACUUUUAGAGAAACAAAAUAUUGAAAAGCUUGUGAGUGAUGAUAAUCGAUCGGAGAUGGGGCAAAAAUAUGAGAGCGACAAGGAACGUGAGUCACAUGGAAAGAUCGAUCAUAUUAUACAGCAAACAGAAGUCCCCACACCAACAUGAAUUGGUGUCAUAUGUAUGAAUGUGAAGGGCCAAAAUCAUCAAAAAGAAAGUGUUGUGUCAUUGUGGACCUUGAUUAAGGGUAAGCUCGUAAUUUUUUUUUUCUAUUUAUAUUUUCUUUGGUACCAAUUGAAUUAAUGUUUUCCGAAAUCGGCUAUGAAAUUAUUGGCCUCUUUUUUGCCCCACCAUAACAAUCCAACCACUUUAAUUCCUUCUUAGUACAACAACGGCUACUUCACUUUAACAUUGUCUAGCCUUUUUCUAUUUUAAGUCAAAAUCUUGACAAUGAACAUGACCCCUUUGGAAUCCACAUUAACCAUAUUAUUAUCGUACAUAUUUUAGGUUGUUAAUCAUCCCAGCUAAUUCGUUCGGAUAAUAUUUAAGAACAAGAUGGUUUGCAGUAUUGGCAUCGUUUCUAGCCACUUGUUUAGGAAACCAUUUAUUACAUAUUUACUUAUAAGUCAAGUUUUAAACCCAAAAUACUUAUAAUGUGUCCGUCAAUAUUAAAACAUUUCAUUUGAUAAGUGUCGAAAUAAUUAUUGGUGGUAAACCUUUAGUUAAAAACAAGAGAAAUUCAUGACGGUUCGACUUGUCUUAGAUGUGGAACAGAUGAAAAAUUGAUUAAUUAUGUGAUUUUUAAAUGUUCUUAUGUCCGUCAGACUUGGACAUUAGCACCCAUCGGCAAUUGAUGCAUAUUAUCUGUUUUUUUUUUUUUUUUUUUUGGUAGAAACCAUAAUAAAAAUUAAUUGUGAUAGCUGAAAUUUUAACCCGUAAACUACACUACAAGAGGUAUUGGAUACUUGAGAACUACAAAAUCACACAAAAAGUUUGGGAGAGAAAAUAUUUACUAAAAAAGAAAGAUUGUUUUGUUUGUGGUUUUUCUAAACAAAGACAUAAGUAAAAUAUAAGUGAAUGAAAGCAAGCAACAACUAUAGUAAAUAGUGUGCAGAUAAGAAUUAAAGGCAUUCGUUCACAGGAAAUUUCACAUGGACUCAAAUCAAAAUUAUCAAAUUAACAUUCUCUCUAUUCUCUAAAAUCAAAAGGAACCUUAAUUUUAAUUUUCAUUGGCUAAAGAAAAAAAUGAUUAAUAAAGUUUUGUUUAAAGAUUUUCACAUACAUUUUUUGAGGUAAAGUCUCCUAACUAGGCCAUAAUGAUGAAGUCUAAUCUACCAAUAAUAGCAAAGAAAAUAAAGAAUCUAACAACAUUUGGACUUAGACGUCAACAUCUAACCACUAGUAUAACCUAAUCAAGCAUAACCCAUAAAAAAAGAAAAGAAUAUCCACUCAAAUUAAAGACAUAUAAUUAAUAAAAAAAAUAAGAGAAAUGAAAAACAUAAUUUAAUCAAAUAUGGAGGGAUGAAAAAUCGUUCACUAUUGCAUCAAGGUAAGAUGUUGAUCUUCAUUAAAAAGGUUUGGAAAAAAGUAUUUAGAUCUAGAAACAUACUUACAGAGAAUAAAGCAUUGUUUUAGAAGUUCUAAAACUUGCUUAAAUAGUAAAGAAAUUUAGAUCGGCUAGACCCAUAAAAAAAAUCGGGCUAGAUCUUGGGUAAACAAGGAAGAAUUUGGAGGGGGUAAACCUAAACUGGCAAACCAAGAAUUUUUUUUAAAAAAAAAAUUGUAAUACCAAUGCAUAGAUUUUUCCCGUAACUUAUGCUAAUAUAACAGUUAAGCGUAAAGUGGAAUUUUUUUUAUGAUAGAUUAACUACUAUAAAAUGAUAUUCAUUUUCCAGAAAAUGAGAUCAAACACAGAGAUAUAUCUUGUGAUGAUCUCCAUGACUAACGAUAAGUAUUUUGAACUAUAUAUUUAAAGUAGUACACUUGAGUGUUAAAUAAAGAUGGAGCUCACAUGUUUAGAACUUCAGAGCAUGCAUAGGAUCCUACAAACAAUGGUGACGAACACUUCACAAAUGAUAUCCGAGCUGAACUCAUAAGAGUGUGAAGGGAUAUGGACAUUUGUUCGAAAUGAGGAUAUUUCGUUAUAUGUCUGGUGGUAAUACCCUGAAAAUAGUUGUGCAUGUGGAGAAGCUUAAUUUUUUUUUUUUUUAAUUGUUUGUAUCUUCUUGUAGCUCAUGCCGAAAGAACUUUUAUGAGUGAUUUUAGGAUGUGUGCUGCAACCACACUGUUGUCUCGAAAGAUUUUGAUAUUUUUUAUUUCGAUGUAUUUAUUCUCCAUCGAUUUCUUUCAAAUAUGUCUAAAAACAAGCGUAUAAAAACAUAUCAAAUAUAUGCAUAAACAAACAUAAUACUAAUAUCGCUAUUAGGAAUAUAGAAUGAUAUUAUUAUCCUUGCUGGAUUUUUUUUGACAACAUUCUUAAGUCAACUAUUUUUUGCAAACGACAUUUUUGCAUGUUGGUUAGAAUUAUUUUUUCGCACCUAAAAAAUAAGCAAAUAUCCAACUAAUAGCUAUCUUUUGCUUUGUUUUUUCAGUCUCUUAUGUUCAUAUUUACUUAAUACUCAUUUCUUUUGAGGAAGAGUGUCAAUCCGAACAAAAUUAAGAAACAUAUACUAAUUACAAGAAUUACUAAAUUACAUGUUUUAUUUGAUUAACAAUUUUUUUGUAUGAGCAAGAUACAUAUGAGUUUAAACUUAGACGGUGUCACAUCUGCACUAGUACAAACCAUUAAACUACGUAAAUUUUUGGUCAAUUAAAACGUAUAUAGUAAGUUAGUAAUAUAUACAUACAAAUAUGACCACAAUCAUAAUACUACUAAUUAACUGGUGAUGAUAUAAAUUCAAUAUGUGUAUUAGUAAUAUGGUGUGAAAAUCUACAUUAGAAAUGUGAAACGUGCAAUGACAUUUGUUUACAACAAAAAAAAAUACUUUUAAACGUUAUUCUAUAUGAAAUGGUGGAAUUGGUAAAAAGAGGUUUCAUAAUAUUACCAAAAGAUUAUUCACCCGAUAACAUAGAAACAGAAUUCUAAAAAAGAUGUCCCUGACAUUUAUAGUUUAUAAAUAUAUUUCCAUAUGUACUUAAUGUAAGAUGAUAAAAAAGUUUGAACAAUAAUCACAACACAACACACAAAAGGUAAAUCUCCUAAUCAUCAAAAAUAUAAAAUGAAAUGAAGGUCUUUGUAGUUGAAAAACAGGGUGGUGGUUGGCUUUAGAAAUUGGACUUUUUAACCUAAAUUGUUUUUUAACUCUACAAUACAACUUCCAAAUCAUAGCUGCUUGAUUACAAUUCAACUUUCAAUAUUGAUAUAGAAAUCUCACAAAUCACAAAAUAAUAAAAAAUUAAUUGUUUUAAUUUCUAAUCAAAAAAAAUAGUGAUAUACUAUAGAUUUCGAAUAUCUCGUUCAAAUAAUGAUGUCAGAUUGUCAGGUUUACAUCAAUCAAACUGAAUUUUCUCGAGAAGAAUAUUUUGAAAAUAAAAAAAAAUUAUUCGAAUAAAAAGAAGAGAAAGGAAUCUAUUAUUUACAGUAUAUUAUAUAAAUAGGAAAAUAAAAUAUGUAAAUAAAUUUCCUUUUAUAAAUGCUUUAGAUUGCGGUUGUACCACGGCUCUGCUCUUGCUUUUAAGAACUUGCCGGUACUAAAUUUCAUAUACUCCAAUUAAAAGCUUGCUCGAAACCCCAAAAUAUUUUUUUUAUUUUUCUAUAAAAUAAUAAUCAUACAUUAAAAAAAAUCAUAUCAUUAUUUAAAAAAAGAAUUUUAUUUUUCUUUCUUCUUCUUCAAUUAUUAUGACACUCCCGUGUUCCUAAUCUCUUCUCAUAUUCUUCUCUUUCUUCUCAGCUUACAAAAUCUUGAAAAUCUUUUUAAACCAUAAAUUUAUUCAAGAACUCAAUUUUAAUGAAGAGAGAGCACAACCACCGUGAAUCCUCCACCGGAGAAGGUGGUAGCUCUUCAAUGACGACGGUGAUUAAGGAAGAAGCUGCCGGAGUUGACGAGCUUUUGGUGGUUUUAGGUUACAAAGUUCGAUCUUCCGACAUGGCUGACGUGGCACACAAGCUUGAACAGUUAGAGAUGGUUCUUGGAGAUGGAAUCUCGAAUCUUUCUGACGAAACUGUUCAUUACAAUCCUUCUGAUCUCUCUGGUUGGGUCGAAAGCAUGCUGUCGGAUCUUGACCCGGCCCGGAAUCAAGAAAAACCCGACUCGGAGUAUGACCUUAGAGCUAUUCCUGGCUCUGCUGUGUAUCCACGUGAAGAGCACGUGACUCGUCGGAACAAGAGGACGAGAAUUGAAUCGGAGUUAUCGUCCACGCGCUCCGUGGUGGUUUUGGAUUCUCAAGAAACUGGAGUGCGUUUAGUCCACGCGCUUUUAGCUUGUGCUGAAGCUGUUCAACAGACCAAUUUGAAGUUAGCAGACGCGCUCGUGAAGCACGUGGGUUUACUCGCGUCGUCUCAAGCUGGUGCUAUGAGGAAGGUCGCGACUUAUUUCGCUGAAGGGCUUGCGAGGAGGAUUUACCGGAUUUACCCUCGAGAUGACGUGGCUUUGUCGUCGUUUUCGGACACUCUUCAGAUUCAUUUCUAUGAGUCUUGUCCGUAUCUCAAGUUUGCGCAUUUUACGGCGAAUCAAGCGAUACUUGAGGCUUUUGCUACGGCGGAGAAGGUUCAUGUUAUUGAUUUAGGACUUAAUCAUGGUUUACAAUGGCCGGCUUUGAUUCAAGCUCUUGCUCUUCGUCCUAAUGGUCCACCGGAUUUUCGGUUAACCGGGAUCGGUUCUUCGUUAACCGAUAUUCAAGAAGUUGGUUGGAAACUUGGUCAGCUUGCGAGUACUAUUGGUGUGAAUUUCGAGUUUAAGAGCAUUGCUUUGAAUCAUUUGUCUGAUCUUAAACCGGAAAUGCUAGACAUUAGACCCGGUUCAGAAUCAGUGGCGGUUAACUCGGUUUUUGAGCUUCAUCGCCUCUUAGCCCAUCCUGGUUCGAUCGAUAAGUUUCUAUCGACGAUUAAGUCAAUCCGACCAAACAUCAUGACUGUGGUCGAGCAAGAAGCGAACCACAAUGGCGCCAAUUUUCUCGACCGGUUCACGGAAUCACUACAUUACUACUCGAGCUUAUUCGACUCGCUCGAGGGCCCGCCAAGCCAAGACCGAGUGAUGUCGGAGUUAUUCCUAGGAAGGCAGAUACUGAACCUAGUGGCAUGCGAAGGGGAAGACCGGGUUGAGAGACACGAGACGCUUAAUCAAUGGAGAAACCGGUUCGGUUCAAGAGGAUUUAAACCGGUUAAUAUCGGUUCGAACGCGUAUAAGCAAGCGAGCAUGUUGUUGGCACUUUAUGCCGGAGCUGAUGGGUAUAAUGUUGAGGAGGAUGAAGGUUGUUUGUUGCUAGGAUGGCAAACGCGACCGCUUAUUGCUACAUCUGCUUGGCGAAUCAAUCUUGUGGAAUAAAAUAAAUAAUGGGAAAGUGAAAAUGUGUUAUACUUAAUGCAUUGCUUAUAAAAAAAAGUCCACGUUAUCCAAAUUUUCAUGAAUUCUAAAUUUUGUGCAAUUGUCACGAGAUUUUGACCUCGCAUAAAUAGACUAUUGUCUCUUUGAGGUCAGGCCAAUGAAAUCAGUUUAAUUGUGUCACUUGUUCCUCAUUCUAAAGAUAAAAAAGGGAUGUAAUUUUCAAAAUCAGUAAUGAGAUGUAAUUUUCAAUAAGUGAUCUACUAAAUUAGAUAAAUUAAUUUACGAAAAAACUCUAGUUUAGUUCUGAGUUUGAUAUAUUGGAAAUCAAUGGUUUUAAGGCAUGUAAUUUUUUUACUUAUAUUUGGAAGAAAAGAAGAAAAAAACUAUAGUGGUUUUUUUAUUUUUUUGUGCAACAAAACUAUAGUGGUAUAAUAUGUGAAUUAUCUUUUAUUUCGAGCGUAUAAGAUGUGAAUUUGAUCAAUAGUAUCUUUUUUUUUGGGUCGGGAGAUCAGUAUCCUUAGACCUUAGUGCAUGAUCUUCACACAAGAUCUAUUAAUUAGUGAACAAUUAAUAUUAAUCAUUCCGAUGGAUUUCUAAGAGUAUGUAUAUCAUAUUUCAUCUUCUUUAGGAAGAUUAAUUUAGUUGUACGUACAAAAUACCAAACAUAUGAUAUAUAUAUGGUGAUAAAUAUGGAUUAAUGUUUCAUGAGAUGAACCAGUCAUCAAGUUCUUUUGAGAACAAUGCUAAGAGCCUAAGACCAAUGACUUUUAAAUUUGAUUGGUUAAAGGGUCAUUAUCUCUCUAAUUAAGGAGCACAGUGGUGUGUUUAAAAUGUACUUGUGCUCUUUUUGACGUUGAUAUAAGUAUCACCCACCGCCAAAUCAUACAUGAGCAUUCUUGUUAUAGCAUGUUAACAUCAUUUUAAGAAAAUGAAUUUCGUAAAAAAAAAAUUUAAGAGAAGAAAAUGAUACCUUUGUUAAAGCCUUAAGGGUUAGACUAAUUGAGAAAAAUAAACGCUCUAUUAGUAAGUAUGACUAAUAACACUAAGGGUCUGACUGGUUUAAACGCAGCGGUUGUGGUUGUGGUUGCGGGAGUUUGCGGAAGCGGGCGGUUGCGGUUUCAAGCGUUACCAAGCGUUUUGAACGACUGGUUUAGCGUUUGAAAAUGGAUGCGUUUGCGGAAGUUUUGUGACUGGUAAACCAGCGGGUGCGGUAGCAGUUAAAUAAAAAGUGACUAAAAAAAUAAAAAAUAUUACAAAAAAAAAGAAAUAAAAACACCAAUAUAUUAUUAUGAUAAUAUUAGAAAAAUUGAACAUGCUUAAUAAUUAAAACCAUAAAUAAAGUACUAAAUAAUUAUUCAAAAAUAAAGAAAUUUUAUAAUAAGAUAGUACUUUAUGCUGGGUCGUUAACACCAAAAAUUGUAUCAAGUAAUGGGACAAACUGUAAAUAACGUUGAAUUCAAUCAAAAAGCAAGUAAUUUUCUAUUCGAGAAAACAAAUCGAAACAUAUAUUCAAUCAAAAAGAAAAGCAAUAUAUAAUGAAAGAAAAAAAUAUUCAAAUUGAUUUUCAUCAGUUUGGGUGGAAGACAUUGAGAAAAUAAAGUUUUAGAAUACUGAUUAGGGUUUCUGAUGAGAACGUGAUACAAAGAUGAAAGAUAUAUAUAAGAUUAAUAUAUUUUAUAAUAAUUAUAAGUAAACGUUUGAUUUUUUUUUUUUUUUUUUUUAAAAUCCAACCGCUACCGCCCGCAACCGCAAACGCUUGCGGGAAGGAGCUUUUGAAAUUCAGCGAUUUCGAGCGGUUUGAAGCGGUACGGAGCGGUUUCUAUGAUUGGUACCAACCGCUAACAACCGUAACCGACCGCUAGCAACCGCUAGGAGGGUGCUAGCGGGAGAACCAAUCAAGCCCUAAAACCAGUGUUAAUACAUAAGACUAAAUUUUUUAUUUUGUUCAAUUUGGUAGGUAACAUUUUUUAUAAUCAAUCUAACAACUACCAAUUUUAUUAUUUUGAGACGGAAAUAUGCAAGAAUUAACAGAAUUAUACCGUUCACAAGUGAAAUUUUUUUUUGUCUGCAGUCCGCAGAGAUUGUUCAAAACAUAAAUUUGUCAAAAUUAUUAGAAACUUGUGAAAGUUUAGUUUACAUACAUAUAUAUAAUUUGGGAAACUAAUAUAAUUUAUGAUAAAUUUGAAUAAUUUUUCAAAAACUUUUACAAGUUUCGUUCUAAAACUUGUGAAAGUUUCACUGUCACUAGUGCCAACGCAAUUGAUGAUGGCUUCCGAUGAUAUGUUUUUCAUCAAAUUUUUAUAAAUAGUUAGUUUCAAAACCCUUAAAAAAAAAACUUACUUAACAUAUAUGUUCUUAGAAACGAGAUUUUGAUGGGCAUCAUUCUUCGACGCUACCAACAUUUUAAAAUUUUGUUUCGUCGUCGAAAGUAGUUUUUUACUCCUACUUCUAUUUUUAAAAAUGAAAAUAAGGAGAAAAGAGAAUGAUGCAUUCUGGAUUUGUUUAAAUUGUUUGGAAUAAGUUUGAUUAAAUUUUGAAGCUCAGGCCCAAUAAGAGAAGUUUGUGGCCUUUAAACCCCUGAGUGUCUCGUGUGUGUGUAUAUAUCUCCUUGUUCGUGCCGCAAGAGAAAAGUUAAAGAAUCGAGAGCCCUAUUGAGCAGCGAUCACCGUGGCCGUUGUUAACUUUUGUAGUUUUCGCCGAACGAACCCGAGAAGGAGAAACCGGUUCCAACGCACUUUAUCCUAACCGUUAAGAUAAAAGGUAAUCCCUACUUGAUAAGUCUUGUUGCUUGUCCUACAAGUUUCCAGAUUUGGUUUUGUGUUUUGCAAUUUUUCCAGAAGCCCUAAGUUUGGUUAUGUAUAUGUGUCUUUUGCUGCAAGUUUCUAGACGUCAAUCACCACCCGCUUUGACCGUUUCCAGCUGCUUUGAGCCAAAAAUUAAGGUAAGGCCAGUUAUGUGGAUACGCUCUAUUGUUCUUUGGUUCUUACGCUUCACAACGCUUAAAAAUAAAUAUGUUCGUUUAAGUUAGACUUGGUGAUGCUUGAUAAGAAUUGAUUGAUAAUAUUGAUGAUUGUUUGAGUAAAUACUGUUGAUCAUCAAUAAUGCUAAACCGAAAUCCCGUCGCAUUAGCCACUACUCACUAGGCACAAAACCAGUCUCAUGCUCGUCCAAAUUUCAUGCACGUAACUAAUCUGAAACUCGUCUGAUCACUAUGAGGCACAAAACCAAUUCCAAGCUCAUCCAACAACUCAUCUUAUAUCAUAUCAUUAUAUAUCAUCUCAUAUAUUAAAAAUCACAUGCAUAAUCAAUCUUCUGUUAUAUAUCAAGUCAUUCUACUAUGCAUCAUAUAACUGGAACCACUAGUAAGAGAAGAUGGUAUAAAGAUCCGACGUCCUUGAUCGUUGAGAUAACAAUCGCCAAGUUCAGUAAGUUUUUCUUAUUUGCUCGUAGUUUUCACACUUUGAAUUUUUUUGGUUAAACCAGAUAUAACGUAACUGAUUGGUCUCAAUCAUCGUGUAUGUAUCGACCAAAGAAAUAGACUUCCAGACAUAGGAAUGACCAGAGACUCAUUGUACCUCUCGUCUGUAUACGAUAGGCAAAAAUCUCACGCAUCGUUACAUUUUUCUUUUUUCUUCCACCCAAAUCAACAAAGCCAAUGUUGAUACCCAAUCUGAAACCAUCCUCUCCAUAGGGGAACAUCAAUGGAUACUGCAAUGGCAAAUAAGCUGGAUGCAAUUCUCUUAUUUUAUGCAAUUUACCAGUUCUCGCAUGAAGGAUGAUAUCACGGGUGUUAUCACCGUUAAAAAAGUUACUAGGUAUCAGAGCACCAAUAAAUUGUAUAGAAUAAGCAAAUUGCAUCCAACCUAUUUGUCAUCGCAUUAUUCAUUGUUGUUCCCCUAUGGAGAGGAUGAUUUCUGAUUGGUAUCGACAAUUGCUUUGCUGGUUUGUGUGGAAGAAAAAGGAAAAAUGUAACGAUACUUGAGUUUUUUUACCUAUCGUAUACGGACGAGGUACAAUGAGUCUCCGGUCAUUCCUAUGUUAGGAAUGCUAUUUUAGCAAUUUCUGUUCGAUACGUACAUGAUGAUCGAAACCAAUCAGUUACGUUAUAUCUGGUUUAAUUAACCACAAAAAUUUAAGGUGUAAAAACUGAGCGGAUAAGGAAAACUGCUGAACUUGGCGAUCGUUAUCUCAACAAUCAAGGGUGUCGAAUUUUCAUACCAUCUUCUUUUACUGGUGGGUCCUGUUAUAUGAAUAUGGUGAAACAUUAUCGCGCCACAAGGCUUAGCCGUCUAAUCCACCACCCAUCACCAACUGGGCAUUUGUUCGUCAUCGUCUUUCACUUCAUUCACCCGAACCCCAAAUCCAUUGCCACUAGUUUAUUUAAAUAAGGAAAACCUAACGUAAUUAUGUCAUCAUCUUUUGCAAGUCUCUGUUUUUUUCCUAUUUGGAUCCUUAGCUUAAAUCUGAAUUUGAGGUGAAGAUGAAGAUAAAAUACAGAUAUAGUCUCCUUGCAUGAAGGCCUUCCAAGUCUUCACUUUGAAAGGCGAAGAAGGUGGCACAGUUAGAGACAGCAAAGACCACGUAGUACAAUGUAGAGAUGGAUGUGAAGAUGAGGGAGAAGGGCCUAUUUUAACCUGUACAAUUUUUAUUGUACCUUUUUAAACACCAAUUUUGAUACCGUGUCGAUUUAAACCUCAACAAUUUUUUUUCAAAUAAACUUACAAGAACUACGAAACUUUAGCCGAAAUCAAUAUUGAUCAAAAUGGUAAGCAUAAACUGUACACGUGCCAUCUGACUCAGCAUGGUUAAGUAACACAUUGUCAGGCAAUGUUGAUUUCGGAUAAAAUUUGGAUGUUCAUGUAUUUUAUUUGAAAUAAAGUUUUAUUUAGAUUAAAAUCGGAACGAUAGCAAAGUUCGUGUAUAGAAAAAGCACGAUGAAAAUUGUACAUGUUGAAAGAGACCCUUCUUCCUUGAAGAUAAUGGCGAAGAAAACAAACUAGAAAGCUAAGACGAUAGUGACACAACAUAACAGAAGAUGCCGAGGACUCUGGUGAGGACAGUAGAUACAGUGGUGGAUCAUAUAACAGCAUCUCAGAAGCUUGAAACAAUGGUGGAUAUGAUGCCUGAUAGGAAGAAGAUAAGCAAGAGAUGAUGGUUAAUAUCUACGUUGCUAUCAUUAUGGAAUAAAUGAUCAAUCCAUCACUAAGACAAUUAUUAUAAAUUUGAUUUGAUUUUUUUCUUUUUGAGUUCUUCAUAUUGCUACAACAUUUGAAGAGAAGGGUUUUCUUCGGAUCUUGAAACACCAACACUUUCCAAAUGCACUGUUCAUGGAAGACUACAUUUUUUUUCUUCGGGUAAGGAAGAUGAGAUUACUUUGAUGGUUCGUGAAGUCAUAGAAAUAGCUUAUAAUCUCUACAUUCAGAAUCAGAGUCUCUCAUUUUGACGAUGUCGAGCGUUUUUAAACGUAAGAUAGAUCUUACUCUUCUUUGAGACAGAUUACAUAGAGCCGAUCAAGAUGACCAAAGAUAUUUUGCAACAGCAUUCUUUUUCAUCUUUCUUAAUAUAAUUUUAGUAAUCAUAGGAACAAUUUUUUUCUAUUUUUCUUUAGUUGUAUAUCUUGCACCAAAGGAAUAAAAGCCAAUUGAUGUUUUUCUCUUAUAUAUGGAUUCAAAAGCGGUUCUAGAUGUCUCUAUACCUCCAGAUCAUUUAGUUUUAAUAAACGAGGGUGUAUUUAGUUCAAUAUAGUAUUGAUUUUUAGUAGACAGUAUCAACUAAUAAUUUUUAAAAAUCUCUGAUUGAAUAACAUACAAUUUACUAUAAUAAAGAAUAUUUGAUUGAAUUUGACUCUGCUUUUCUUUUGCAUUAUUUUAAUCUUAUAAUAUUAUCUAAACACAUUUUUUACGAUAAUUUAAUUCAUCAUUUUAAUACCUUUUUAUGAACUAAUGACGCGUAAAAAAAGACUAAUGACGCGUCGAAUCCGCGUUACGUAUUAAAAGCUGCUAGUACAUGAAGUCAAUGUAGGAAAAAGAUAUAACGCCUUCUAUGGUAUUGACUUUGGCAAAUUUAAGUUUUUAGGCUUUUAUUUCGGACCAUUUAAAGAAAGCAAUAUCUAGAAAUGGAAUAUAAUUUUACAUUUUCUUAAAUACGACACGAGUCAUUUAGGAAAGAAACACGAGACUUUUUCUCUUAUGUUUUGACUGAAUUUUGAGGUCCUUAACACUUCAGAGGUUAAAAUGUCACUUAAUCACAAAAAAAUUUCCUACAAACCAAAUUUUCUUUGAUCUAUUUUUUUUUUUUUUUUGCAUUUGAAGAAAAAGCCCAAAAGUUUACUCGGAAAGCAAAUUCCUUUGAUCUAAAGAAAGAGAGAAAAUGGAGAAUAUGUUAGGUCUUCUAAGACUUCAUGUGAUUAGAGGUGUUAAUCUUGCCAUUAGAGAUUCUCAUAGCAGCGAUCCUUACGUCAUUGUCCGUAUGGGCAAACAGGUAACCCAAAAUUUCAUCGUUUUUCUUCCAAUUUAGGCUUCCAUUUUCGAGUUCUUGAUCGAGUUUUUUUUUUUUGGUUAAAGUAGUUUUGAUCAAAAAAAAUUAUAGGUUAAAGUAGUUUUGAUCGAGUUUCUCAAGUAAUUGUUAUCAAUAGCUUCUUGAUCUUCCCUAGUCUCCAUUGUUUUUAAUGAAUGGAUAUUUGGUUAUGAAUCUGGUUUUGCUUCUUAGAGAUUCUGAUGUAUUUAUUGAAUGAAAUAAUUAUGGUCUUUUUUUUUACAGAAUUAGAUGAUUUUCACCCAAAAGUUUUGGCUGAAUUGGUCCUUUGAAACUUAGUAGGACAAUGUUAGUUGUGAAUUUGUAACAUGUCCAUUAUAAUCACAUACUAUAAACUUUCAAUUAUAGGAUACUAAGAACUUCCUAGAAAUUAAUGUAUCAAUAAAAAAAAUAAAGUGAGCGAAAAGACAGGCAUUAAUUCACCAAGUUUUUGAUAUGGUUAUGAAUCUGAACAAAGUUAUUUCUCUUCUUUGACGCAGAAGUUACGAACCCGUGUGAUGAAAAAGAAUUUAAAUCCGGAAUGGAACGAAGACUUGACACUUUCUGUUACUGAUCCAACUCUUCCUGUCAAAAUCGUAAGUGAUUCUUCAUUACAACAACUUGCUCUUUCUCAGUUAAAAACGUAUUAAACACGAUAAACUAGACCGUAGUAGAUUCUUGAUUUUUUAAUUUUGAAACAGAACAACACAACAAGAAAGUGGGUGUUUGUUUUUGUUGUGAUGAUAUAGAUGGUGUACGAUAGAGACUGGUUCUCAAGGGAUGAUAAGAUGGGAGAUGCGGUUUUCCACAUUGAUCCGUUCCUCGAAGCCAUCAGAAUCCAAAAUCAGCUCGGAGGACUUCCCGAUGGGACCGUCAUAAUGAAGAUACAAGCAAGCAGGCAGAACUGUUUGUCAGAAGAGAGCAAGAUUGUGUGGCACAAAGGAAAAAAGAUUGUCCAAAAUAUGUUUCUUAGGCUCCAGAACGUUGAGCGCGGGGAGGUCGAGUUGCAGCUUGAGUGGAUCGAUGUCUCGGACCAUAUAAGUAUAUAGGAGAGGCUGAGGGUGUUGCUUACUAGAUCCAUUUUUGUACUACAUGAAGUUCGUUGGAAAAAUUAUACUACUUAUGCUAUAUUGAGAGUAAAUAAAAUCGAUUUUUUUUUUUUUGUUUUGAAAUGUUAAAUUUAUUUCUCAUAGAAAAAAGUUCUACUUACAAGAAAAUGAAAAUAAAAUUUGUCGCAAAUUGAAAAGAAAGUAGAGUGGUCGAAACUUGAGGGUGGUGGCUUCACGAGAGAGCUCUUGCAAACAAGCCAAGCUUGCAUUGUAGUAAAUAUUUUAAUAACUUAGUGUUUUUACUCAAUAAUAAUGGUUUUUCAAAAUAUCUUAGUAGUUACCGAUACAUCUAAAUUUGUAAGAUAGUCUUAAUUAUCCAAACCAAAUAUAUUUUGGCAUAAGAAAAAAUUGAAAUGUGGAUAUCAAACAUGCACGUCACUUCCUUAACCCCUCACAUGUGUAAUAGUGUAAAUGUGUGUGUAAUAGAGUAACCUCGCGAGGUUACUCUCUAUAUAUAUGUCUGACAAAGGAUUCGAUGAGUCACAACAUACUCUUCUUAGAUAAUUUUUAAAUUUUAUAACUAUUUGGUUAGAUAAUUUUAAUAUUUCUCUUUGCUCCAGGAGGGUUCGUCCAGAGGGUUGACAAAAGGUGCAUGGACUUCUGAAGAAGAUAGUCGUUUGAGGCAAUGCAUUGAUACUUAUGGAGAAGGCAAAUGGAAUCUAGUUCCUUUACGUGCUGGUAUAUUUUAUAGAGUAAUUACACUACAUACCCUAAGACUGAGAAGUAUUUAAGUCAAAGGAAAAGUGGCAAACCUGUAAAUAAAUGAUCAACUGAAAAGAUGAUAAAAAGACUUAGUUAUUGGUUUAUUAAUUUGUAAAUCUAUAUAGAAUUUGAAAAUUUCUAUUAAUUAUGAAAUCAAGAUAUAUGGAUUUUGAAAUAACAUGUGUUUACCCAUGGAUUUGAAUCCUUCUAUUUUUCUCUUUCAAUUCCAUUCAAUUCCAUUUAAAACAUAAUUUGGAUUCUCAAAUCCGAAAACAAAUGAUUAAACGAAUAACAUAUGAUUUUAACUAGUAUUUAUAAAUCAUAGAACCAAUAACACAUGAAUUUAAUUAGGAUUUUAAAAUCAAUGAUUGAAUAACAAAUGAUUUUUGUUUGGAUUUCUAAUUCCAUAUAAAUCCAUGAACCAAUAACCCCUAAAAUACCCCUAAAAUCAAACACUUCCUUCUUUCUUCCUUCUUUCUUUGUUUCUCUUUCCUUUUAUUAUUUAUUUUUUUCUUUUUCUUUUUUCUUUACUUUAUGAUAACCCCAAACAAAUGAUUCUUCUUAAUUAUGAAACUGAUUGCAUCUAAAAUUAUGAUAUUUUGAAUUCAUUAAACUCGUCGCAUUUUUCUGAUUAAAAUGAACUCAAUAAACCUUAAAAAAAUUUCGAUACAGAGACGUCGUAUGUUUGGGUGUCGUUCGUUAUUAUUGAGCUUCUGUUAGAGAUGAUUUGAGACACCGUCAACCGACGACGCUAAGAACAAAUAACGUUUUUCACUAUAGCUACUGGAUUAUUGUGGGUUAUGCUUAUUUCUUGAUGACUUCAAGAGACAGAGGAAGUUGCUUAAGAGUCAUAAGUUUGAUGUUGAGAGGUUUAAGGAACUUGAGAAUAAGUGGAAGAUAAUGUCUUGAAUCGUGUUGGUGUUGAUCUUGAUUUGGAGGAUUCUUUGCAGAGUUGUCAUAGAGAUUGAUUGGUUUUUUAUGAUCCAACAUCAGUUUCUGGUUUUUCUAACCAUUCUCUUUUUGAUUAUAUAUCAUGAUAUAUAAUGAUAUAUCGGGAAAUACACAUGUGUCUUAUUCCAGGGGUAAAUUCGUCCGAUUUUUUCGAAACCAAAGAUUUCUCUCUCUUGUUUUGCAAAGAAUAAAAGUUGUGUAUGUACAAGCUAAUUAUUUUUUAAAUAAUUAGCAUACAGCUAAUUGACUCUAUUUUAUAUGUAUUUAUCACUUAUAUAUUGGUAUUUCACUGAAAUUAAUUAACAAGUUGAAAAUAAAACCCAUUACGCCCGGAUUCGAUUCCCCUUUGCUACAUACUAGUGGUCACCAAGGAAUUUACAUGCGGACUUGCUCUGACGCCCGAGACCGUUACCUGGCCAUGACCUACCCUCGGGUGUGCGUCCGUGCCAUAAGGGUUCGGUCUCUAGUCUGGACCACUUCGGUGGGGCCAGGACACUCGGUUAUCAAAAAAAAAAAAAAAAAAAAAGAGUUGAAAAAAAAAAAUUAGUGAACAAAUGGGUGCACAAUCAUUUUUCAUGCUUUGAGGUAUGUAUAGAAUUAUAAAUUAAUUAGAUUGGCUUGUUUGAUGUGCCGUUUAGUUUCACAUAUGUGAUUUGAUCGUCGCACCAGCGCAUUAAGCUAAAAAUAAACAAACUAAGACUUAUGGAUAUUGAUUGGUUAUCCCACACCAAAAAAAGUUGUGGUUGCUAGUUUUAAGACCAUUCACGGAAAUUGUUUUAUGCCGUUCUGGCCAUUUGUGAUCGUUAAAUUUCAAUAACUCUUUUACAAACGUUUGCAAGCGGUAGUGGAUGACUCAAAAAAAAAAAUAUUAUCAAAUCUUAUAUAUAUUGACGUUAAUCCUCAAAUAAUAAUUGUUCUCUUACUUUAAUCUUUCAAUAAAAAAAAUCUUCCAAUACGAAUAAUUAUUUGUGUUUCACUAUAAAAUUUAUUAGUUUUAAAAUAACUUUCUUGUACUUUUUAUGGUUUUCAUAAUUCAUCAUGUUCAUUUUUUUUAUAUUUAUCAUAAAAAUAUAGUUUUUGGUGUUUUAAUAUAUUUUUAUAAGGGAAAUUGUUAAAAAUACCCCUUUUGGUGUGCCCUUUUUCAAAAAUGCCCUUUUUUAAAUCUGAAAUUUUAUAAAGUUUUAUUAGGUUUAUAAGGUACUUAUGGAUUGUAACUACUACUUGAAGAUUCGAUCCAAUUAUUUAUAAGGUUUUAUAAGGUGUUUUAAAAGGUUUUACAAGUUAUUUUAAAGGAUUUUUAAGGUUUUUCAAAGGUUUUACAAGAUAUUUUAAAGGUUUUUAAAAUACAUUUAUAAGGUAUUUAUAAAGUAUUUAUAAGAUUUUAGAUACAUAGAAAUGUAGUUUGUGUAUGUUUUAAUAAUAUUACAUACAUAUUUGGUUAAAUCUUAUAUUUUUAAGAGCAUUUUUAUAAGGUUUUUAAAAAAGGGUAUUUUUGAAAAGUGGCAUUGAAAAAAUGGCAUUUUUGCAAAAACCCCUUUUUAUAAUUAUAUAUUAUAUUUAUUUUUGUAAUUUUUGGUUUAAACUAUGUCGCUUCUGUUGGUCAACCAAUCAUAAAACUCUAGCAAAUGCAUAUGUUUUUAACAUAUAAACUAGUCGUUCAAAAUGCGUAAUAAUAUUUAAAAACGCAAACUCCCCAACCGUACCUACUGCAUUUAAACUAGUCAAUGAAUACUAUGCAAAAUUAAAUAUUACAAUGACUUUCUUUAUUGAUGAGCUUAAACAAAGGUAUACUCCCUCUGUUUCGAAUUACAUUUAAAGUUUUUGCAAAAAAUUAAUAAAACAAUUAAAUUAUGUUUUACCAUUUAUUGAUAUAUUCUAUAAUAUUUUUCAUUGGUCAGGAAAUUAAAAUUAUAGGAAUAAACUGGAAUUUUUAAUAAACAACUGCAUUGAAAACCUAAAACGACAUCUAUUUUGAAAUAGAUUUUAAGUUUUAAAACAACAAUUAAACUGAAAUAGAGGAGUAUUAUACAAACAUAUGUGAGGCUUUCGAUAGGAUUAAGACUCCUACAAUGUAUAUAUAUAUCAAGUGUCAAUAGUUCCACUGGUAAAAUAUCUCAAGCAAAGUUUAGAGGUCGCUGGUUUGAGUGAAACUUGGGAAGAAACCACUUAAAAUGCAUUGGUCUCUGGCCUCAGAGGAUGUAUGGGUAUAGGCCUAAAACUUCUUAGUAAUUCCAAAAAAAAAUAUAUGUAUAGAAAUUGGCUUUAUCUAGAAAAUUUAAUUAUAUAGAUAUCUUACUCCCCCGUUUUAUUAUAAGCAUCAUUUAAGGUUGUUUUAGACGUGUUAGAAAGUAAUUCAAUUUUUUAUUUUACAUAUUAUUAAUAUUUUAUAUAAUAUUUUUUGGUCAAUAGGAUAAAAUUAAAAAAAAAAAUUAAAAAUAUUUUCAUUGAAAAAUACAAUUAACAUUUAUUUUAAAAAAAAUUUAAGAGUAUAAAAUGACACUUAAUAUAAAAUAGAGAGUAUCAUAUAAGUUUAAUGCGUUUAUAUACAAUCUGACAUUUAACAAAAUUACUAUUUAUGAAAAUUUUGAAAUACCUAAAUUUUGUAAUAUCUAAAUUAAUAAAAUUCUAUUUAUUAUGUUUUAAAAUUUGCAAAUGCAUAAACGACUCAAAAUAGAAAAAAAUAAAAGGGAAAGAAAACAAUGAUUCUAUAUGUCUUACCAAUCUUAAUCUAUACAAGACUAAUGUAAAAAUAUAAGCUUUCAUUUUAAUUAAUUUAGGUUUACAGUAUUUUUAAACUUGAAAUUUUUUGUGGAUAUAAAUAUUCAAAAUUUUAAUUAAAAAGUUGAAAAUCUAUUUUUGUGAAAUAAUUUCGAAUGAUUUGCAAGGAAGGCGUUGGAUGCAAAUUAUCAAAGGUGCAUGAUGCGUGUGUGUGUAUAAUCGAAUUUCAAAUUCCUUGGCUCUUACUUUUGUCUUGUUUCUUUUGUUUUAUCGACAACAUAUAAUAUGCAUAAUUAAUUUGAAUGGUAACACAUCUACCAUUGAACUAUAUAUCUUAGUCAAAAGAAAUUGUUUUAAGUAGUUCAGUUUUAUUAUUAAUAGAAUCUAAGAAAUCAAAUAAACCAUUCGUUGAAAAAUAAAAACUAUUUACCAUGGCCAUCUCUAUAUUACAAUCACAAACAUCAACUAUACACAUAUAUUUAUUUUGUUAGCGUACAUGCACAUCGUACGGUCCUAACUCCUAAUAUAGUCUUAUCCGGAUGGAGACCAUCCCACACGUACGGUGCAUAUCUUCAUUACAUAUAUGUCACAAAGAAUUAACAUUUUUUUUUUAAAGAACAAACGCAUUUUAUGGAUACUAGUAAGCAAAAAAGAAAAGAAAAAUGUCUAUAACAUGAAAGAAGUUUUAUUUACGUUGGUCCUAAUAUAGUAAUAUAGGCUUUACUUGUCACUCUAUUGGUGUUCAUAGUUGACCUCAGGGGAAAGUAUACUUCAUUAGUUGACCUCAAUUAUUGGUUAUCUAGGGUUAAACCGAUGCAGGAAGAGCUGUAGACUAAGAUGGGUGAACUACUUGAAUCCGAAUAUCAAAAGAGAAGAAUUUGGUUCUGACGAAGUUGAUCUUCUCCUUCGCCUUCAUAAGCUUCUAGGAAACAGGUUUUCUAUUCUUCAGACACAAAUUCAAAGGAUUUACACAAUGUAUUAAUCCAAUACAAAACUAAUAACUCGUAGACAAAUUGUUCAAAUGCAUGCUUAGGUGGUCAUUGAUUGCUGGUAGAUUGCCUGGUCGAACCGCUAAUGACGUCAAGAAUUACUGGAACACAAAUUUGGCUAAGAAGCAAGAACCGUGUUACGCAAGCAAAAUGAGAAAAAGAGAAAUUACUUGCUCACCAACGGCACCGGCCGAAAAACUCAAUGUUAUAAGGCCUCAACCUCGAUCCUUCUCCAGCAAUAAUGGGUGCAGCUCACUCAACGUCUUGUCAGAAGUUGGCUUUGGCGAAGUAAGCACCAAAUAUGGUAGUAUAAUCACAUGUAACAAAGGUAAGGAGAAAUGUGAUAAUUUCGUCAACAAUCUAAUGGAUGGAGAGAUUAUGUGGACGAAGAGUUUGCUGGAAGAGAACCAAGAGGCAGACGCAGUGGGUACCGUAGGUACUACAAGUGACGAGGGAGAUAGUUCUUCGACCGACUCAAUGUCUUCGACGUUUGAGAACCUUGGGAGUCUGUUCAAUGCAGAUACAAGAGAGGUUGAUUAGGUUAUGACUCAGUGAUUAUGUUAAUUUUGAUUUAAGGUGCUUUUAUUUAACCUUUUUGUUUGAUAAUAUGCAGUCUACAUAUCCAAGUCAAGACUAAUCUCUAACACUUACAACCGCUAUGUCAAAAGAGUGGCAAAAGAGAGGAUGCAUUUUGUUUGGUAAUUUUUGUAUUUCCUUGUCUUUUUUUGUUUGGCUGCAUGUACUUAUGAUUUUACUAUUCAUCCUCCCAAAUAAAUGUAUGUGCACCAGUACUCUUGUUUCUUUCUUAACUAUUUACAUCAUACUUUUGUUUGUAUUUUACUAUUUUGUUUAUCAGCCACAAUUUAGUUAUCUACAUCUCAGAAAGUCAUAAUUUUGUUAAUUUAUUUUGUUACCCAUGUGUUCUAUAUUUUUUGAAUUAAAAAAAUAGUCUAUUCAAAUCCUAAAUUCGAAAAUCUAACUACUAAAUACUAAACCCCAAAAUCAGAAAACCUAAAUUAUGAACCCAAAAUCUUAAACCCUAACCCAAAAACUCAAACUCUAAACGUGAAACAUAUCUUUAAUUUCUUUAAAUUAAAAGAAACCCCAUUUUCGACACAAGAAAGGUAGAAACAAGAAAAAGAAUGUGAAACUGUGUGUAAUAGACAACAUUUUUGUUUAACCAAACUACACAGAAAAAAAACAAAAAAAAAAACUAGAUGGAUUUCGUAUUCUUUAUGUAGUGAUGUAGCUAGUUUCCAUAUGUUUUGUUUUUCACUGGAAACAUGGCCAUUUAGCGUCUCCUUUUGUUUUAUUAUGGUGGAUUUAUGUGGUUGAUUACGGUUGGAAUUAUAUGUGCAUGAGUGUGACGUAUACAUGUGGCCACUCAUAUAACCUAGCUCCUAGGUCCUAGGUGGGAUAAUGGCUUAUAGCCUAUGUCAUAUUUGUCGUGGGGUUCGUAGAGUAUCGUAGUGCUGUGCACUAGGUAUAAGAACAUACGCAGUGGGUAUUCGUUGGUGGAGUGUGUGUAAUUAAAUAAUCGAAAAUAAGGCAAAAGUUGUGUAGGAGUCGGAAGGCGAGUGUAAACAUACACUCGGGUGUGAGGGACAUGUGUCAUUUUGUGGUUGGUUCAGAUUUUUGAUAUUGAAAUAUUAUUACUGCGUGUGGCUUACGCGCGAGCCAAACACAUCAGAGUAGUGGAUCCCACAUUAUAGUAUAGUUAAAUCUAGAACAUUAUUUUAUUAGUAAAUGAACACAAACUCAUAUCUUCAGAGAUACCCGAUUGUGGGUGCUCUAAGAUCCAUAUUGAUAUAUUUUAGUUAUUAAAUAAACUGAAAAUACCUUUUACUGUCGAAGAUUGCAAUUUGCAAUCAGAAUUUUGGUUUGGUAUCGGUUUGGAUUUUUCGGGUUUUAGAAUUUUUGUGUUUAUCAAUAAUAAAAUUUAUGGUAAAGCACAAUCUUAUAAAUGAUUUAGUAUGGUUUUUUUUUUUUUUUUUUUUUUGUUGAGAUUAGAGUAUUAGUUAAAUAUACAUAUAUACUUUUAUAUAAAAUUAGGAAAGUUUUCUUUUUACUUAAUCUGGUUAGGUUCAAAUUUGGAUUUUUUUUGAGGCAAUUAGCUGUAUGCUAGUUUUUUGAGAAAUAAUUAGCUCUCACAUACACAAGUUUUUUUCUUUGCAAAACAAGAGAGAGAAAGUGCUAUAGUAACAAAUUCUGGACGAAAAUACCCUCCAAAAUAUAAGAGAGAUAAUUUCAUAAGAGACAGAUACGACAUAGACUCUAUAGUGGGCCACCACUUAUUAAAUGUCUGCAUCGAUAGUAUAUUCUGCUAUGCAAUUAUGUAUCGUGAUAUCUUGUUUAUUAUCGAAUACAUGGAUAUAUAUCUUACAUCGUAAUAUUUCAAUAAUGUUGUUUAUGGUGGAUGUGGAGGAUGAGUGAAGUAAAUAAGACAUUGUGGUUGAUUGUAUCUUAGUGAAGAAGGUAGUGAUGGUGAUGUGAGCGGAGAAUAUGUUAGCGGUGGAGGAGGAGGAUGUGGUGGUUGGAUGUGAAAGAGAGUAUAGUGAGACAACAUAAGUGGAAUACGGUGACAACAAACGAAUUGUGAGAUAAAUAUGUUUAUCCAUCACUGGUCAAUGAUAGCAUCGCCGGUUUGAUGGUGUCCUAUAUCAUUUCUGAUAUAUGUCCAUCGAUAACAUGAACGACAUCAAAUUCGCGACGUUUUUGUACCGAAAAUUUUGUAAGGUUUAUUGAGUGCAUUCUGAUCAGAAAAAUACAACAAAUUUAAUGAAUUAAAAAUAUCAUAAUUUUAUAUGCAAUCAGUUUCACAAUUAAAAAGAAUCAUUUGUUUAGGGUUUUCAUAAAGUAAGAAAAAAAAAAGAAAAAAAAAUAAUAAAAGGAAAGAGAAACGAAGAAAGAAGGAAGAAGGAAGGAAUCGUUUGGUUUUGGGGGCAUUUCUGUCUUUUUGUCAUGUUUUCAAAGGAUCACUUAUUUACAAGUUUGCCACUGAUCCUUUGACUUAAAUACUACUCAGUCUUAGGGUAUGCAGUGUAAUUACUCUUUUUUUUUUGGGUUUUAUGCAAAACAAUCUUCUAAGUCAAUUUCGUUUGCAAGUUUACCCUCCUAAUCUGAAUUAUGCAAGUCAACCCCACAAUCUCAAAAGUCACCCGCAAUACAGCCUUCCCGUGUACGAUGACGUGGCACCCGAUAACUCCGUUUGAAAACAUAAGGGACUUUUGCAAAAAAACCCUCUAUGUAGUUUUUUUUUUGCAAAACAAACCUCUAUGUCAAAUAAAUGCAUGUCAAACUACAAUCUCAAAAGUCACAUGCAAUAUAACCCUUCCGUGUAUCGAUAACGUGAUAAUCGAUAACUUAUUUUAUCUAUUGCCACAUCAUCGAUACACGGAAGGGCUAUACUGUAGGUGAAUUUUGAGAUUGUGGUUUGACUUGCAUUUAUUUGACAUGGAGGUUUGUCUUGCAAAAAAAAAUACUUUGAGGGAUUUUCUGCAAAAAUCCCUUAUGUUUUCAAACGGAGUUAUCGGAUGCCACGUCAUCGCUACACGGGAGGACUGUAUUGCGGGUAACUUUUGAGAUUGUGGGGUUGACUUGUAUAAUUCAGACUUAGAGGUUAAACUUGCAAACAAAAUUGACUUAGAUGAUUGUUUUGCAGAAAACCUUUUUUUUUUAAUAUACACAUAAUGAAUCAAUUUAAAUUAAACUAAGAUAUGAUUCAUAUUUCACAAUUAAUCGUUGUUUUCUUAAUAUAUAAAAAAUCAAUAUCAUGUAACCAACAAUGGUUUGUGACUACCUAAAGUUGAACUUCAAUGGAGAAUAUCGUAGAGGUGAAUAAUUAUUUCUUUUAGUAUAGAUCAAUUUUAAAUAUAAAUUUAAAUUUUCAUAUUACACGAAUUCAGUCUAAUAUGUACUUACCGAUUCAUUAAAAUAUCAAUAUUGUUGUUCUCUGCUUCUUAAACUCAUUAAUCUCGUUCGUUGUCGGAUCCUCCAAUUGGACAAAUUUGUCACGACUACCCUCAGUUGACAGUGACCAAUGCCAAAUCCAACCACCACCCUAAUGGUACGUAGAUUCAAUAGGAGGCAAUACUCACCACAAUCGGGUUAAAUAAAAAUACCGAUUUUUUUUUUUUAAUUACAAUUAGUGAAUUAUAAUUGCAAUUCGGUAUUAUAAAUAGCAUGGUAAAUCUAUCAAAAAUCUGCUACACAGUUUUGUUAUAUACAUGUACAUAUGUAUACCAAUACUUUUUAUGAUUUAUUUUAAACUGUAUAUUAUUUAUGAAAAUUAUAUAGAAGCUUUUUUAUUACAAUAGCCAAUCUAUACAAGUUUUCUAUAUUACAACUUAGUAAGUAUAAAACCUAAUUGUCUAGUUCCUAUACUUUUUUUUUUUUUUUCGUCUAAAGGAUUUCAUUGAUAGAAUGCGAUUUUGAGUUACACAAAGCCGACAAGGAACGAAAACUUUUCGGAGACAAAGCCGGCGGGUACAUAGAAACCUCCGGAGACAUAAGGCCAAAAGAGACAGACAAACAUAUCAAGCCUUAGAAAAUACAAUACAAAGAUUACAACUAAAGGAGUAACAGCUAAAGCCUCCAAAGCCACAACACUGAUAACUCUUCCCUACAAGCAGUCGACUAACACUUCCAUAGAACAGUUUGGCAGCAUGGAGAGACAACAAACAGGAGCCUCGAGAAGGAAACUAAAUCGAGCUCACACAACCAUCUCCACAGCAGAAACGAAGACGACGAAGCAAGAAGAUCAGAACACAGAACCUAACCACCACCACCACUUUAGAGCCAAUGAAAAUGAGAAAGCGGAGGAUCAAGGAAAACCUUGAGAUCCGAGAGGGGAAACGCCAAAUAGGACCACCCAUCCUUAUACACGGACCUUCGUAGACCCAGCCAAAGCUACCUACAGACUAAACACUGGUUACGCCACGCAAAGAGAAGGACAAGGGAUCGACCCACCACAACGUCCAGAACUCAGCCGAGAAACCAAACGAGGUUCCAACAGAGAGCUAGUAGAUGCCAUUGUAGAAAGCUAGCAUCCGAAUGGAGAACCCACAAAACAGAACCUAUCGCCAAAUCACCACACCAAAAACCAAGAGGAGGACAGAGACAGAGGCAGAGCAAGGAGUCAAACAAGCCUACCCAAAAGCUGAACCUGAGGCUUCAAAUCACAACAAAUCGAAAAUCACAGCAAAACACAAACCCUAGAAGUCACUCAAACUCACAAACAGAGGAAGAAACCGCAAACAAAGAGGCCGUUGCUGCAGCACCAAAGGGAUGUUCAGGACCAAGUCAUGGAAACGAAACGCCGGCUAAAUACACGCCUCACACGAGACAGUACCACCGCAAAGCCAACAAAAUCCAAGACUAGAACUCUUCAGAUCCACCUCGGAACCAGCCGGAACAUGCAACAAAACAACUCUCGAUUCCCCAACCAACGAGAACAGAGCCGCCGAAUGUCGAGACACUAGAAACAGAUCGGAAAACACAUACCUCCAUAACCAGAUCGGAGAAAACGAGACGGUUCUACCGGGGAAUAUAUCCAUCUACGAGGAUCACCAAUCCGCCACCCAUCCUCCAUGAUAGUCACCACGUCGGAACCACCAUAGAAGGGAGGAAAGGACAAGGGGAGGAGACGACGAAACUAGGGUUUGAGAAGCAAAAAUUACAACAAAGAUGAACUAAUGAGAAGAAGCAGAAACUACGGUGAACGAGACCAGCGACAGUGCUAUGGAAGCCACCAAUCGCCGGCCAAACGAGGAAGAAGGUGGUCUUGACGGCUAGGACGAACAGGGAGAGCGAGAGAGGAAAAGUU
rnacentral:lncRNA from 1 species